CAAAGGAAAACAUCAAAAAACAGACACCAGAUAAUCUAAAUUUAUACUGAUACAAGAACAAUACUUUGUGCCUUAAAUCUGUCUUUGAUGCAUGUAGAAAAACGUAAACUCAAUUCUUCUAGCUAAAAGAGUGAAGCCAUGUCGGUGAAAUCUGAUGGUGUGUUUAUUAGCUUUAUGAAGGCCAUGGAGAUCUGUCAUGAUGAGGAAAUACCAUAGACAUCAUCACACUCUGGUAUUUUCCUUGCUUUCUCCAACAUUAUUUCUUUGUCCCUGCACUCACUACUGCAAAAUGCCUUCUCCCCUCUGAAACAAGAGGAUAUUGAAAGAAUUAUAAAGAAUUAACUGUGGUCUGACAACUUACUGCGUGAAUAAAAGAUACAAGAAAAAUCAGAAAUAAUAGCAAAAACAAUAAACUAUGGUUAUGGAGAGCAAGAAAGACUAAUCAUCUUUAGUAACAAAAUAUUCAUGGAAGAAGCACCAAUUGUUUAUUUAUUACUACCUAAACAUACGUCGUAACAAGCCGUUCAUGGAAGAAAUAUCACUAGUUUAUAUUACUCCCUAGCCUAGAAUUCAUAAUCUUGUCAGUAGAAGCAGAGAAAAAAAAACUGGUACAAUAUUCUUAGUGAGAGUAUGCAUUUGGCACAAAUUAACAUUCCAAUAAUGAAAAUCAAAUGGACUUUAAAAAAAGAUUCCAUCCGGAUUAUUUUCAUGCAAUAAAAAGUCUACAAACCAAAAACAGAUAGUAAUAAUAAUAAUAAUGACAAUAAUCAAGAAAGCUAAUUUGAGCUAACCUGUACAUGUAGAUGUCUUUCCCUUGCCCAAGAUUCUUCUUGCAAGUGCAGCAAAAACUUAGAAAACUCUCAGAGGGAUAGCUCAACGAGCGGUCGAUGAAAAAUCCAUUUUGUCCUCUUGAAGAAGAGAUUUGAACAGGACCCGACCAGCUCUCAACAAUGCAAUCAUCAAAUAUAUGAGUAGUCCUUGGAUUUGGUCCGUAAGAGAUCACACAAGUAUAGUCCUCAGAGCGCUCCAUUUCACUGAUAGAAAGGCCACUGAAAACCCUUGGCGAAUUUGAGUUUUCCAGACCAGAAUUUGAGGACCCAAAUGGAGAUUUCCUCACAGAAGAUGGUGACAAUCCGGGUGAGACUGAUCCCACUACAGAAUUCCUAGUCUUGAUACCA
rnacentral:lncRNA from 1 species